GAUGAACGCUGGCGGCGUGCCUAAUACAUGCAAGUCGAGCGAACGGACGAGAAGCUUGCUUCUCUGAUGUUAGCGGCGGACGGGUGAGUAACACGUGGAUAACCUACCUAUAAGACUGGGAUAACUUCGGGAAACCGGAGCUAAUACCGGAUAAUAUUUUGAACCGCAUGGUUCAAAAGUGAAAGACGGUCUUGCUGUCACUUAUAGAUGGAUCCGCGCUGCAUUAGCUAGUUGGUAAGGUAACGGCUUACCAAGGCAACGAUGCAUAGCCGACCUGAGAGGGUGAUCGGCCACACUGGAACUGAGACACGGUCCAGACUCCUACGGGAGGCAGCAGUAGGGAAUCUUCCGCAAUGGGCGAAAGCCUGACGGAGCAACGCCGCGUGAGUGAUGAAGGUCUUCGGAUCGUAAAACUCUGUUAUUAGGGAAGAACAUAUGCGUAAGUAACUGUGCACAUCUUGACGGUACCUAAUUAGAAGGCCACGGCUAACUACGUG
rnacentral:rRNA from 1 species